UAAUUUUUGGUGUAAAGGCACGUUAAAUUUUGAUUUUAAAGGGAAUGAUUCAAUUCAUUAAAAUUAA
rnacentral:tRNA from 1 species